rnacentral:rRNA from 1 species
AGAGUUUGAUCAUGGCUCAGGAUGAACGCUGGCGGCGUGCCUAACACAUGCAAGUCGAGCGAAGCACUUAACUUUGAUCCUUCGGGUGAAGAGUUCUGUGACUGAGCGGCGGACGGGUGAGUAACACGUAGGUAACCUGCCUCACACAGGGGGAUAACAGUUAGAAAUGACUGCUAAUACCGCAUAAGCGCACAGGGCCGCAUGGCCCGG